rnacentral:rRNA from 1 species
UACGGGAGGCAGCAGUGGGGAAUAUUGGGCACUGUUGCGNAAGCCUGACCCAGCAACGCCGCGUGAAGGAAGAAGGCUUUCGGGUUGUAAACUUCUUUUGUCAGGGACGAGCAGAANACGGUACCUGGCGAAUAAGCCACGGCUAACUACGUGCCAGCAGCCGCGGUAAU